rnacentral:rRNA from 1 species
UACCACAUCCAAGGAAGGCAGCAGGCGCGUAACUUACCCAAUCCGAAAUCCGGGAGGUAGUGACAAGAAAUAUCAAUAGAGGACCCAAUGGGUCUUCUAAUUGGAAUGAGAACAAGGUAAACAUCUUAUCGAGGAUCCAGCAGAGGGCAAGUCUGGUGCCAGCAGCCGCGGUAAUUCCAGCUCUGUAAGCGUAUACCAAAGUUGUUGCAGUUAAAACGCUCGUAGUCGAACCUUGGCGAUUGUUUUGCGUCAUCCUCACGGAUGGCUGUGAUUCGGCCGCCUUUGUGGAGGGGGGUGUAGUGGUUCUUUACUGAAUUACUGCAUUUCCGCCACCGUCUACUGUGAAAAAAUUAGAGUGUUCAAAGCAGGCAAUGGCCGUGAAUACAUUAGCAUGGAAUAAUAGAAUAGGACCUGUGUUCUAUUUUGUUGGUUUGUUAGAAACGGGUAAUGAUUAAGAGGGAUGGUUGGGGGCAUUUGUAUUCCAGCGCUAGAGGUGAAAUUCUUGGAUUGUUGGAAGACAAACUGCUGCGAAAGCGUCUGCCAAGGACAUUUUCAUUGAUCAAGAACGAAAGUAAGGGGAUCGAAGACGAUCAGAUACCGUCGUAGUCUUUACUAUAAACGAUGAGGACUGGAGAUCGGACGGGGCUGUUUUUGGCCCGUUCGGCAUCCCCCGGGAAACCAAAGUGUUUGCUUUCUGGGGGGAGUAUGGUCGCAAGGCUGAAACUUAAAGGAAUUGACGGGAGGGCAUCACCGGGUGUGGAGCCUGCGGCUUAAUUUGACUCAACACGGGGAAACUUACCAGGUCCGGACAUAGUGAGGAUUGACAGAUUGAGAGCUCUUUCUUGAUUCUAUGGUUGGUGGUGCAUGGCCGUUCUUAGUUGGUGGAGUGGUCUGUCUGGUUAAUUCCGUUAACGAGCGAGACCUGGGCGUGUUAGCUAGAAAUGACUACACUUUGUGGUAGUGAUCUUCUUCCUAAACGGACUGCGGCCGUCUAGGCCGCGGAAGCUCCAGGCAAUAACAGGUCUGAGAUGCCC